rnacentral:misc_RNA from 1 species
GCUACUACCGAUUGAAUGGUUUAGUGAGGACUCCUGAUUGGCGCCGCCGCCCGGCAACGGAGCAGCGGACUGCCGAAAAGCUGUUCAAACUUGAUCAUUUAGAGGAAGUAAAAGUCGUAACAAGGUUUCCGUAGGUGAACCUGCAGAAGGAUCAAGAACGGAAGAGCGGCGUGUAGGGGAAGAGGGUAGAAUCUGGUGGUCGGCGGAACCUUAAAAAAAAAAACACAAGAUCUCACCGCAUUAUACGCGAUACAUCAACGCAAGUCCACUAAUCCA